GCUACUAGUGAUAAUAUAUUACAUUAUCCUAGUAGGUUACAGGCUACUAGUGAUAAUGUAUUACAUUAUCCUAGUAGGUUACAUAGGCUACUAGUGAUAAUAUAUUACAUUAUCCUAGUAGGUUACAGGCUACUAGUGAUAAUAUAUUACAUUAUCCUAGUAGGUUACAGGCUACUAGUGGUAAUAUAUUACAUUAUCCUAGUGGGUAGGUUACAGGUUCUAGUGAUAAUAUAUUACAUUAUCCUAGUGGGUAAGUUACAUAGGCUACUAGUGAUAAUAUAUUACAUUAUCCUAGUAGGUUACAGGCUACUAGUGAUAAUAUAUUACAUUAUCCUAGUAGGUCACAGGCUACUGGUGAUAAUAUUAAGCAGAAGGAUCCAAUUAAAAUGUUUUAUUCCAACAAGUGGGAAGCCAUUUUAUCUCUUGACCCAAUUAGACUGUUACCGCUUUAUUUGAUUUGUGUGAUUGACCGACAGCGGGAGAUAAUAACUGUUCCUCUGUAAUUGCUGCUUGGUGUUCGUUCAUGCCCGGUCCCGGUCCCCUAUCUCGUUAUUUGAUGGACAGUGAACUUGGCGAGGUUGGUGCGCGGGAGUUCACCGAGAUGUCAGGGUCCGUGGUGUAGGGCACUGGCAGGUCAGCGUCAGCGCUUGGGAAUGAGGAGAGAUCCCCCUCCCGGCGUUGCAGAGCCUCUCCGGCCUCCAGCUAAUCGCUGACGAUGCGCCCCCCGACACAGACCUCAUCUCUCUCAAUCUCUUUCUCUGUUUCUCUCUCACACGCAGACAGAGAGGCGCGCGCGUAAUAGCUAUGCAUUUUGUGGGACGGGAAGCACGAAAAACAUCACCGGUGGCCAUUUAAGUCAAUGUCCUGGUCUAUCUAAAGGAAAUAUAUGAUUCGUCACGGGUCAGAUGGUGGUUUUAUAGGCUAUUAAAAAGGCACGUUUUAAAGACCACCUGUUUAAAAGAGUUAAAUGAUGUGUCCGUAUGGACUGAAUAUACAGUGAGUGAUGUACUCUUGAACUUCAGCUGACACCAGUGUGGACUAGAGUAAGGACAUCAUAUCACGGAACUAUUUCACACAAUGUUCUUAUUCACCGGGGGGUAGCUUUGUUUGAAAUAACCUAUAUGCCCUCAAACGUGCAGUAAGGUAAUGUCAUAAUACACGUCCUUCGGUGUCUUGGAUAGGCUAUGUGGUUGAAUUCUUAAUCAGUAAAUGUGCAUUUAAACGCCUGAGAAAUCCUUAUAUUUAUGGGCUAUUUCUCCUCAAGCUAUUAGCAUGGAUUACUCCAUACAUAGUGAGGAGGUGAACUGCAGGGCAACGCUUCAGCACAUCGGUGCGACCCGACAGAGAGAGAGAGAGAGAAUGGGGGGACGGGAAAUGUAGAACGUGUCGCUGUAAAAUGUGGAGCCACGCCGUCUCCUGUUUGACUGGCUGAGUCGCCUGUCCGCUCCAUGUUAUAGCUGUCAUAAACAUGUUUAGCCUCCCAGUAACCUUGUUAACACCAAGACACAUUUUGUUUUAUUUCCCACCAACUGACCCAAGUUUGAACCCACUGCAAGCAAGAUAUCAUUUUUUAUAACAGAGGCCCUUCCACAGAUACAGACAGAGCAGCGUCACCGACUGCAGAGGGAAACGGUAGUCAAGACAGACAACAGGUUAAAGUCUCAUUCUAGAUUAGACAAGUUUAACCAGGGUGCGCACUACGUCACUGAACGUCUCCAACUCUCAAAAGAAAAACUUGUCAGUUUAGCCUCCAAACAACUGUCAUUAAUUCGUAUAGCCUAAUAAAAUACAAUAUAAACAACUUGGUUAUUCCAACUAAAUGCUGGAUUAAAUCUUUUAGACGAUUGUUUAAUGCUUUAAUGCAUGGGUCGAACAAAGCAAAGACGUGUGUUGGAAUUUAAAGGGGAAUUUAAAGGGGGAUUAAGGAAAUUAUUUAAAUUCGGAACCAACAGCGCUAAUUGAAAUGUGUUGAAAGCAGUUCAAUUAAGACCCGCCCCGGGCAUUACAUGCAGAACUCAUCACAUGUAAUGAGGCUAAACUGCGGAAUAUUUGCAACAAAGAACCUUGGAUGGUUCCUAUUGUUAGAGGGACUUAACACCUUUUCAGAGUUAAAUCCCUGAUUGUGCGUCUCCAACAGGAGGUGGUAUUAAAAUGCGCCUGUAACAAAUGGGGUUUUGGAGAAGCUGCUACUCCGUGGGCGGAGCGAGAUGACACAACAAUUAAAGAUGAACUUUGUGUGAACUAAUUUCUGUCGCCAAGCCAAGGUAACAGAAGGCCGAGACCUGGGGGAAAGGGUAUAAAAAGGCCGUAGAAAACACCCAGACUUUCAGUAGCAAACAAACUCUUGCUCCACCUAAAAGUCCUCACACGUUUAUAGUUGGUUUGGUUACGCGAC
ensembl:lncRNA